rnacentral:rRNA from 1 species
GACGAACGCUGGCGGCGUGCUUAACACAUGCAAGUCGAACGAUGAUCUCCCGCUUGCGGGGGUGACUAGUGGCGAACGGGUGAGUAAUACGUGAGUAACCCGCCCUUUACUCUGGGAUAAGCCUUGGAAACCGGGUCUAAUACUGGAUACUACUUCCUGCCGCAUGGUGGGGGGUGGAAAGGGUUUUACUGGUUUUGGAUGGGCUCACGGCCUAUCAGCUUGUUGGUGGGGUAAUGGCUCACCAAGGCGAUGACGGGUAGCCGGCCUGAGAGGGUGACCGGCCACACUGGGACUGGGACACGGCCCAGGCUCCUACGGGGGGCAGCAGUGGGGAAUAUUGCACAAUGGGCGGGAGCCUGAUGCAGCGACGCCGCGUGGGGGAUGACGGCCUUCGGGUUGGAAACCUCUUUCAGCAGGGAAGGAGCCGCGAGUGACGGUACCUGCAGAAGAAGCGCCGGCUAACUACGUG